GGAGGUGGACGAUGCCCUAAACCUCGGAUUCUUACUCUACCAACUAGGGACUGAAAAUCCUUCUCUAAUAAGACUUCUAUGAGAACCUAAGAAGGCGAUUCACCCCUUCAUUCAUCCCAUAAGGACAGCUCACAAGUAUUGAUCGUGUCCUGGGCACCAGGUCCUGUCCAGAGCUUUAUAAACGUGUGAACUCCACAUCUCGACCCUAUGAGGGCGGUAGUACGAUUAUGCCCACUGAUGAGGAAACUUGAAGCUCAGAGAGGUAAAGUCACUUACCAAAGGUCACACAGCGAGUGAGUGGUAGUCAAGACUUGAGCGGUCUGACUGCACUAAUCCAUCCAAUUACGUUUAUUGAGUGCCUGUCCGGUGAAGGGCGUGGUUUAGUCACUAAAGAUAAAAGGUGAAGGAGACAAAGACCCCCACCUUGGAGGCAGAGAUAUUCCUUGGGCGGGGCCGACAUUCGAGAGGACGGGGCCAACAUUACGGGGGGAGGGGCUGACGUUCUCUAGCCUUCAGGGUCCACAGCCUCCACCUCUACGUCGUACUCUGUCCCUAUAUAGUACUGACCGAGCAUAUAGUAGGGAUUCAAGCGUUCCUGACAAGAACACAGCCUCUGCCCUCACGCAGCUCACAGCCUAGGAAAGACAGUCCUGAACGGUAGGACCCUACAGAAAGGUAUUUACCUCCCAGGCAGGAGGGAGGCAAUUACGCGCUCUUAAUCACUACCUCUGUUUGUCUCAGCAAGGAGAGAGGAAAGGCGGCGCCCCGAACCUGGCCUGGUUUGAGAUGCUCCCAGCCGCGGGAGACAGACAGACUGUCAUCAAAUGUCGGAAAAUAGCUGUCAUGAGACGCCUCACCCCCUGACACCUGAAACCCUCCCCCUGCGACUGCAAAGUCAUAGGUUCUACUCCUGUUGACUGAGCACCCGCAUGCUUUCAAAUUCUCACGCAGCCUUACUGGGGUAGAGACUUACUUACCCGGAGUCCCAGCCGGGGUCAAGAUGUCAGGAUCCGGAUUCAAACUCAGCACCUUGGAUGUCACGACUCACGCUGACCAAGACCUGGGUUUCUAGCGUGUUAAAUGAUUCACUCGAAAGUGGGGACCCCCCACCACGUGCCUCCCCUGUGGUGGGUGAUGCUGGGGACCCCGGAGGAGUAAGACCAGAACCCUGAUCUCAAAGACGCUGCAGACUGGUGGCAGAGACGGACACAGACAGUGAGAACCAAGGUGGUGAUGGCUGUGACAGAGCAGGUACCAGGCUGUCCUUGCCACGGCCUUCUGGGGCCCACUGGUCCAAGAUUUUCACCUUUGUCUGACUGAGAAGAAAACCAAGACUCAGAGACAAGGAAUAAAUCUGAAGUACACAGCAGUUUGUG